ACUACACGCCGUACGUUUCUGUCUCUUGCCGUUUUUAUGUCCGCUUAAGAAAAUUUCAAGUCUUGGCUUUAGAAAAGUUCAAGAAUUGGUGAUGUUUUCAUGGGCAAUGAAACAGCCGACGAUUGGAAGCGGAUAAUAUUUGAAGACGUACCUGAGCCUAAUUCACUGCCUUUCGAUCUUAGUGCCAAACAAGUGGAUAUUUGUCCACUAAAUCUUAGUGCUAAGCCAGUGGAUCUCAGUGCCAGCCGUCUUCGGUAUUCAGCCAGUCAACCAACUGAAACUCAGCUAGUCAACCUGUCCUCGGGCAACGCGCCUACUCCAUCGGCUACAUUAAACCUGCCUUCCGCUGGGGUUUUAAGGGUUGAUCGUUCAAAGUUUCGUGAUCUUUCAUCAGAACAUCAAUCCGGAUCGUCCAAAAAUUCCUUUUAAAAUUGGAAAUUGGGUUUCGCGGAACCGCUGUCAAACACAACUCGACAUUCUGAUUGACGAGGCGCUCUGCCUGUACUCCAAAGAAGAGGACGGCUACAAAAGAGCCAUGAAAGCAGAGAAAGAUGCACAAAACCAGAUAGCAUGGGAAAUGUCAGCGGAACAGCCAACGUUAGAUAUGUGCAUGAGUAUAUUUAUGGGGGCUAUUUACCUUGGCCACAUUAACGACGCCAUUAGGUGGAUCCGGAUUGACAUACAAGACGCCAUUCUAUACAGACAGAUGAAGAAGCAUGUGCUUAUUCUUGAGCAACAAGAUGUAUCUGGUUUCCCACGCCCGGAUCCCAACAGUAGUGGCCGUGCCGUUGUCAAUUCCACAACGUUAUUCCGCAUAAUGGUUGAGAAAGCCAACAGCGAAGGACUGGCCGGCAAACAGUUUAGUUGACAUUGUAGUCAUGUACUUUUACGACAGUUGUGACUUGUUUCUUCCAAAAUUUGUACAAGGGACGACACCAGUUUCGAUGGAAAAAUGCACUUGAAUGUUCGGAAACCGGAAGUCUCAUCAACAUAGAGGGGUCAUACCAGCCUCUAUUUGUGCGUCUCCAUUGAAUUUACGCCGUUUACGCUUUGCAUUGCGACUAUUUCCUGACGGCGUCUGGACCUGAAACCACACGAGUCAUCGGAACCACGCAGCGGUGACAUUAAAGAGAAAGAAAAACACACGAAAAAUCUUAAUAUAAAAACAUUUUUUAUUGUCAUGAAAAGCUAGGUAAAGGUACCCGUCACAGACAUAAAAGAUUAAAAACGGACAUUGACGGCUUCAAAUGGCAUAGUUAAUACAAACAAGUAUUGUUCUCGCUAGAAUACACUCCCCGGCGUAAUAGCAUGUUUUGCCACUAGAGCGCCGUGGAUCCACAGUGCAAUAGCACUAUGUGACACUAGAGCGCCGUGGACUCCACGGUGCAAUAGGCGUGACCCUGUCUUAAACUAUUAAUGCCGCCAAUAUAAAAGAUAAUGAUGUGCCCAAUGCAGUGGUAAACAACGAACAUGAUGUACACCCGAGUCCCCCCCCCCCAAAAAAAAGGCGCAAAAAAUAAUAGUACCACAACGAAAUUGGUUGUGCGCUUACUGUCAUCUAGAAAUGUCAUUUUUCAACGCAAAAUAAGUGGGAAGGAUGGGUGAUAAGCAUAUUGUUUACAGUGGCGGUUCAACCCGUCGCCCGUCCCGUAAAAAAAUGCUUCGGUGGGUUGAUAUUUUUUUGAGGUUUUUUUUCCUUUAGCCCGAACAGUGGCCCGGGUUUUCAUGGCCCGGGCCACAGCCCUAAUUGAGAACCACGAACGUGAAAAGCCGUCGAAAAUUCCUUUGAUUUACGAACGCGCCUGCUAAUAGCAGAAAAAAUGGGCAAUCCCUUGAUGUAGCUAUUCACGGCAUGUUUCUUAUCACUUGGUGUCCUUACCAAUUGUUGUUUUUUUCUAAUUUUUCUUCUUUUUGUCCUCACGAAUUUGGUUUAUCUAAUUGAAACCAACCCAGCAUACCAGUUUAAAGGUACAAACACAUUUACUUGCUUUUUCCAAGAAGUACUAAAAUAUUUCCAUUUUUAAGUUAAUUCAUAGACAGCAUGCUCAACCAGCAAACAUUUUUUAAAGAGAAAUUUGGCAAAUAAUGACAAAUUUUUAUGUAUAAAACGGGUCAUAUGAGUGAAAUUUUGAAAAUUUAGUCGCCCUUUAGCGUUACUCAGCAAAAAAGUUCGCUAACUUACAGGCUGACAGUUUUGCGUUCCUUUUUUAAGUGCCAGCUCCUAUGUAAUCUUUUUUUUUCAAUCGAUAU